rnacentral:rRNA from 1 species
AGACGAACCGUCCAAACGUUAUUCGGAAUUACUGGGCUUAAAGGGUGCGUAGGCGGUGUCGUAAGUUGGGUGUGAAAUCCCUCGACUCAACCGAGGAACUGCGCCCAAUACUGCGACACUCGAGGGAGACAGAGGUAAGCGGAACUGAUGGUGGAGCGGUGAAAUGCGUUGAUAUCAUCAGGAACACCAGUGGCGAAAGCGGCUUACUGGAUCUCUUCUGACGCUGAGGCACGAAAGCCAGGGGAGCGAACGGGAUUAGAUACCCUAGUAGUCC